rnacentral:rRNA from 1 species
AUUGAACGCUGGCGGCAUGCUUUACACAUGCAAGUCGAACGGUAACAGGUUAAGCUGACGAGUGGCGAACGGGUGAGUAAUGCAUCGGAACGUGCCCGGUCGUGGGGGAUAACGCAGCGAAAGCUGCGCUAAUACCGCAUACGAUCUGAGGAUGAAAGCGGGGGACCGUAAGGCCUCGCGCGAUCGGAACGGCCGAUGUCAGAUUAGGUAGUUGGUGGGGUAAAGGCUCACCAAGCCGACGAUCUGUAGCUGGUCUGAGAGGACGACCAGCCACACUGGGACUGAGACACGGCCCAGACUCCUACGGGAGGCGGCAGUGGGGAAUUUUGGACAAUGGGCGCAAGCCUGAUCCAGCAAUGCCGCGUGCAGGAAGAAGGCCUUCGGGUUGUAAACUGCUUUUGUACGGAGCGAAAAGGCUCUCUCUAAUACAGGGGGCUCAUGACGGUACCGUAAGAAUAAGCACCGGCUAACUACGUGCCAGCAGCCGCGGUAA